GCAAUUCCGUACCAUUUAUGCAUAGUUUCGCUGCUGGUUGAAAAAACUGAAGCACAUUCCGAACUUUGCCUUCAAUUUCGGAAUUGUCCCAGUAACCCGGUUCCAGAUUCCCCUAAAUUAUCUUCAUUCGGUAGGCUGCCACCCAUAGAAGCCGGGGUGGUUGAAGGAUUCUUCAGAUUAGCUGCGAUAAUCACAAGCUGUUGGUGUCAUGUCGAUUUUUUCGAUGUGUUUCAAUGCGAUGUGGCCCAACGAAGGCUGGAAAAAGUCUGCCAGAAGACGUUCGAUGUGUGAACGUAUCACAUUGGGGUCAGCUUCCGGUACUACGGCCGAGACGGUGCAAUGCAUGCAACCGGGGAAAAUUUCGUUGACACGAUGCAAUAAAUCAAUCCAACCUAGUCGUCAUGGUCCAAGCGAAAAAUGCAUUUCAAGCACAAGUGGAUCGGCUGAGGUGUUUUGCAGAUGUCCUAGCUAGCAACAUCGAGUACCGUCGCAUGGUGCUACGUUGGCCCUUUUGAACUUGGAUGAUCAGGCCAAGUUGAUUGUUCUGCCAAGGCCCUUCGGAUUGUAGCUGUCGAUGCAUGGUACUCACGAUGAAAGAAAAUAAAAAUAAAGGUAAGAAACGUUA